AUCCAGUUGACGAGUUCAAAAAGGACGAAAUGAGCAUCGUGGAU
rnacentral:hammerhead_ribozyme from 1 species